GGCCUCCCUUGUCUCCCGCUCAUCUUACCUGAAGGAGAUGAGUCUUCAUCAAAUGAGCCAAUGAUAUUAUUUCUGAAGCGGACAUUCCAGCCUAGUACCAUCAGGCGUAAGAGGAACCAUGGAUUUUUUGCUCGACAGCUUUUAGAGGAGUAGGCUGCAAUGAACCAACGCAUUUGUAGACCAACAGAUGCCGUCAGCUUUUCCGUUACAUUUGACCGCGUCAACUCGCAUAGGACAGGGAAGAUGAAACUGUAAACUAUCAAGUUACCAGAGGGGGUUUUAGGGGAGGGGGAGAUUGGCAGCUGCAUCGAGGAGGACAUAAGGUUCCAAGACUAAAUAGUAGUCUUCGUCGUCCUCAAAACAUCAAAAUUCCCUUUCAAGAAAACUGAAAUCUGCAAACGAUAUCAAUUUUGGUCUCGGGUGGAAUCAGGAAUGGCGUCGAGUGUGGUGAAAUCCCUAAUCAAAUCAUCUUCCUCACACCGGCAAAUGGAUGCAGAGUGCUUGUAGUAUAAGGCUGGCAGGGAUGGAGGACACGGCGGAGCUGCUGGAGAAGAAGCUAGCGUCGGUAAUUUCGAAGAUGAGCUUAGAGGAGGCACUCACUCUCGCUCCUGUUUUCAGCCAUUACCUCAAUUUGAUGGGCAUUGCUGAAGUUCAUCACAGGGUUUGUAGACAAAAGAAUGUAAAUCUUGUGAUGAUAUUUUUAAUCAGCUUCUGCAGCGUGUGUUUCCCCAAACCAGCUUUACGAUACUGUUUGCAAGCAGGAGGUCGAGAUUGUUCUUACUGCACAUCCUACACAAAUUAAUCGCGGAACCUUACAAUACAAACAUAUCAGACUUUCUCAUCUUUUAAAUUUAAGAGACCGACCUGAUCUUACUAGUGAAGACAGAGAUAUGGUGAUUGAAGAUCUGGUGCGAGAGAUAACUUCUGUAUGGCAAACAGAUGAGCUUAGGCACCAUAAACCCACACCAGUUGAUGAAGCUGGGCCAGGUUUGAACAUUGUGGAGCAGUCCCUUUGGAAAGCUGUACCUCAUUAUUUAUGUCAUGUCAGCAAUGCUUUAAAGAAGAUUUGUCUUCAAAUUCGUUUCUGCACACUGGGAAACUGGAAAACCACUUCCAUUGAAAUGCACACCAAUCAAGUUUGGCUCUUAGAUGGGGGGUGGUCGAGAUGGAAAUCCCAAUGUCACAGCAAAGGUCACAAAAGAUGUCUCGCUUUUAUCUAGGUGGAUGACUAUUGAUCUCUAUAUUAGAGAAGUGGAUAGCCUGAAAUUUGAACUAUCCAUGAAUUGGUGCAGUAAUAGCUUGUCAAAACUGGCACAAGAGAUUCUAGAGCACAGUAUGACAUAUUGCAGUUAUUUUCAGUGGUCAUUAAUAUUGGCUGCUUGGUAUCAUGUGGAGACUACCAAAGCAUAGCUUCCAUUGUUUUUCUUUGACAAUUUCCUUAACAGAAUCUGCAUCUGAGGAUCACCAGAGUUGGGAUCAUCAGUGUUAUAAUAGGAAUCAAGUAAAGUAACAACCUGCAGCACUUCCAACACAACUUCCAGCUAGAGCUGAUCAACCCUCUUGCACUGUCCGUUAUAAACCCCCGCCGACAGUAGAUUGCCAGAACUCCAGAAGGUUCAGGUUUUUUCGCUCUCUCGCUUCUCCUUAUCAACUUGACAGUGGUGCAGAUAUUUAGCAACUGGAGGGUUUGAUUCCUAAUUACGCGGCAAGGAAUAUUGAUUUCUGUGGCAAAGGGAUUGAUUUCCGUCUCAAAUCAAUAUUCCGUCUCUAACCUGCAUUUGAUCACUCGGCACGAGGUUAUUGAGCUUCCUCGAAGAGAGACAAAGCUCGAGCUUUCUGGAGAUGACGAUCUUCUUCAUUUUAAGAGAAUUAAGAUUGGGUAUCUGCACCUGAGGAUUCUUAGCAACAUCAGCUCCUCAAAUUUGUUAGAUCAUGCCGAAGAGAUUUGUAUAAUCUCAAGUCCAGGUACCUCAUGAUCUUCAUAGCUCUCAGUUCAGAUGCAAUAGUUCAAAUUGAAUAGAAAUAGUAUUUGAAGGAAUGACCUUAAGAAUUACAAUCUUGCACUCAUUUUUUGCCAAUUUACAUGUUGGCAUUCAUUGUGAUAUAUAAAGAAAGUAGUUGAUUCUUUCCAUCUUCGGGGAGCCGCUAUCACCAUCUCGAUUCACUGUUAGUCAAAGUCAACCUCAACGAUCAAAAUCAAGAACAGUAAAAGCUUGGUAAGAUUUCAACUAAGCAAAAUCAAGAUGAAUAUCAUAGUUAUUCAUCUUUUAUUCAUAUACCCAACGUGAUUACCUUUAAUUCACUUUUCAUUUUCAUGUUUUCAGUUGUAGUAAUUGAUUUAUCAGCUUUUAUAAUCUUUCAAGACAAAACCUUUUAUUGUUUCUUUGUUUUGUUAAUCGAAGUUCAUAGUUCAUAUAUGAAAUUUCCUUUUUUUGUGUAGCCUCUGUUCUAGCUUUUGAAUAAUUGCAAGAACAACAGGUUUUUUUAACGCUGUUAGACAGAAAGAGUAAAGUAAAACAAAUGAAAGAGAUCUGGUUCUUAAUCUGAUUUGGGCAGCCAAUCAUAGAAUCAAUCAUACGGUUAUUUCACUAAUGUUGAAAGAUUUUAGUUUUCGUUAUCCUGUAUGGAAUGAAUACAGGGGAAAAUACUUUCAUCAUUGCAUAUUUUAUCUUUCUUAGGAUUCAAAAGAGAAAAGUUUUUUGGUCAAGCUUUUGUGUAAAAGUAGUUAAAUUCACAGAAAAUUGAAUGCAAAUGGUUUUAUUUUCAGUUGCAAAGAAAUUUAUAGUGGAAUUCGACUUCGUAUUGAUGCUUUGAACUGUGAUUUUGGAGGUUAGUGUGUCUGUGCUUAAAGGAAGCAGCUUCUUUGCUGUUUGAGUGAAUUAGAAUUUGGGUAAGUUGCUAUGUGUAAUCAUAGUGCAUUAUGUUUUCACUAUUGAACUACAUACUACAAAUUGAAUUUAAAUGUAUAUUUGGACUGCUUUUUAACAGUUAAAUUCUGUAAAAUUCUAGGAUAAGAUCAGUUCUAAAUUCUUCUAUAUUAUGAAUGUAUGUAGAGAUUGUUCCCUACCCAUUCCACUUCAAUUUUCACCUUUUUCUGCUAUUGUUUUAUUAAAUUUUGUGUAGUUCAGUUUUGUUUGAAUCAAUUUUAUGCAUCUCUGAUUAUUGGAAAUGUUGAAAUUCAAAAAGUAUAAACCAUGUGUUUCACAAUUGCAGCAACCAAAAGAAUCAUUAGUUUUCUUCCUAACCAAAUCUUAACUGAAAUGGAACAGUUUAACCAGUGAUUAAUAUUGUUUCAAAAUUAUUGUUCUGUGUUUUGGUGUGUGGAGCUAUUAAUUCCUUAAUUGCUAAACUGAUGGCUUAUGAUCUGAUCGUUUACAUUAGCCCUUUUUAAAAAAAAAAAAUUACAGGCUGCCAUCAUUCUAUAAUCUUCUAUGCGUUUCUUCAAUAACCUAUUUGCUCAAUUACGGGCUGCUUAACGAGAAGUUCGAUUGCUGGUAUCUCCGUCUUAACGCAAUAGAAGACACCGGAGUCUGAGACCUCGAUGGUCGAUUGGACCGGUCUCAAGUAUUGUUCGAAAGCCUUCUUCACUAUUCAUUUUGGGAAACUUUCAAACUUUCGAUUUUGUGAAAUUGAGCUCACUUGAUUAGAUCGGAGGAUCCGAUUGAGCAAUCAGAGAUAUAUGAGAGAUUAAGCUCCAGAGUGAGAGACAGAUAGGGAGGGGACUUUUCUCUGCCAAUCAGAAGAAGAGGAUUUGCUGAGGGAAAGUCUAGAGAGGAGGAAGGGAUGUCUUGGUCGAUUUCAGUCUGUUCCUAAUUUGGGAAUCUCUGUUUCACAUUCAAAGUUUCAAUCUUUAAAGGAGCUUAUUGAAAGACGUUUGACAUAUCUCAAAAGCCAAAAAGAGAAACUCGAAUCAAUGUCUGUGUUCAAGGUGUGCGAAGCGGUGGGAAUAGAGAAUUUCACACUAAAUCUCCUCCAAAAGAUAGUCUGUGACUGUCAGCGUUCUGCUCCGGUCAUCCUUGGCCGAGCCCAGGUCUAUUCCUUCCACUUCUGUGUACCUGACUGUCGAUGUUUCAUAUCUCUUUAGAAAGCCUGAGGUUUCAGAUAUAGUAAUUUUCAAGGCAUCUUCAAUGUUGCAGUGUAUUUAUAAAAAGAAUUGUGGCCAAGGCUGCAGUUUAUGUUCAGGUACAUGAUGAGAAAUUGUUGGUCAAUGGUGA